rfam:Pteropus alecto contig11902, whole genome shotgun sequence.
GGUGCUCACUUCUGCACCACUAAAAUUGGAAUGAUACAGAAGAUUAGCAAGGCCCUGGAGCAAGGAUGACAUGCAAAUUCAUGACAUGUUCCUUAUUUUA